rnacentral:lncRNA from 1 species
ACCUUCCAAAGUGUUGGGAUUACAGGUGUGAGCCAACGCACCAGGUCUUGAAUAACAUUUUUGAACGUUUCCCAGAAAGGACUUGGACCCUCUGUGGAACACCCGAGUACCUAGCCCCCGAAGUCAUUCAGAGCAAGGGCCACGGAAGGGCCGUGGACUGGUGGGCCCUCGGCAUCCUGAUAUUCGAGAUGCUUUCGGGGUUUCCUCCAUUUUUUGAUGACAACCCGUUUGGCAUUUAUCAGAAAAUUCUUGCAGGCAAACUAUAUUUCCCCAGACAUUUGGAUUUCC